rnacentral:lncRNA from 1 species
GGGUGGGAGUGACCAGGUGCCGUCCAUCACCCCUUUCUUUGAUUAGGACAGGGAACUCCCUGACCCCUUGCGCUUCCCAAGUGAGGCAAUGCCUCGCCCUGCUUCGGCUCGCGCAGGGUGCUCGCACCCACUGACCUGCACCCACUGUCUGGCACUCCCUAGUGAGAUGAACCCGGUACCUCAGAUGGAAAUGCAGAAAUCACCCGUCUUCUGCGUCACUCAGGCUCGAAAGCACUGUAUUUUAUGGUGAAAUGUUGAAAGCUAUGCUUCAAAUGGAAAUAGGUGCAGUGGAUGAGAUACUGUUUGAUAACAUGAGAAGACCAACAAGAUCAGAACAGAAACCCUCAGGCUACAAAUACAUGGAAAUAGCAAAUAGUGCCACCACGCCCAGCUAAUUUAUUUUGUAUUUUUUGGGGUCUCACCAUCUUGGCCAGGCUGGUCUUGAACUCCUUACCUUGUGAAACACCCACCUUGGCCUCCCAAACUCCUGGGAAUACAGGCAUGAGCCACCACACCAGGCCAAUACAUAGUUUUUUAUAAGGAGAUAUUCGCCUGUGAAAGAAAUUGAAUCCAUGGUUGUCAGAAGUGAAUAGAAAGUUAAAAACCAUUAGUAAGUUAAUAUUUUCAUUAAUUCAACAAAUAUGAUGGAGUACAAUGAGAUCCCAGGCACUAUUCAGGAUUUCCACAGACAUGAAUGAAACAGAAGUCUUCCUAAUGUCAGAGCUAAAGUAAUAAACACAGUACUUUUCAAUAAAAUCACAGGGAUUAUUGGACAAGGAAUGAGUAUUCACACCCAUAUUCUUUUCUUGAAGACAAGAAUGUUCAAGCACACUGAAGAUGAGGAACUAAAACUAAGACUCAAUGUAAAGAGGUCAAAUCGACUUUCUCUAUAAGCAAAGCAAAAGCAUCAUCAGUCUACCAUGACUCUCAGUGAAUCAAAAGCUAUUAAUCAGAAAAAAAGUACAUUCGGCCGGGCGCGGUGGCUUACGCCUGUAAUCCCAGCACUUUGGGAGGCCGAGGCGGGUGGAUCACAAGGUCAGGAGAUCAAGACCAACCUGGCUAACACAGUAAAACCCCGUCUCUACUAAAAAUACAAAAAAUUCCCGGGCGUGGUGGUGGUUGCCUGUAGUCCCAGCUACUUGGGAGGCUGAGGCAGGAGAAUGGCAUGAACCCGGGAGGCAGAGCUUCCAGUGAGCCGAGAUUGUGCUACUACGCCCCAGCCUGGGCGAGACUCCGUCUCAAAAAAAAAAAAAAAAAAAAAAAAAAAAAAAGCAGAAAAAAGUACAUUCAUGGCUUGUAUCUCAGGUAUAUUUAGGCUUUGAUUUUUUAACCAGUCUGGUAAGUUGAUGAAAGAAAUCCCUGCUGAAUAUCAGCUCCCUACAAAAACCAGUGUACUAUCUGUUGACGAUGCAAAGUUAAGUUCAUUAAAAGUACCACAAUAAGAAAGAACUCUACUUUGAAAGAGUCUUAAAAAGGGCAAAUUAUGAAUGAAUGUUUACAUGGUUGUUGAAUCUGAGCUUUGGUUGUCUUUUAAGGGGACUGCUUUUUGAGAUUGGAUAAUUUUGUCACAUAAUCAUUUAGGGUUGUUUGACUUCUUUAAGACAGAAACCUUGAAGUAAUUCUUGGUAAGAAAAUUGUUAGAUUAAUAUUUAAUUGCUCGGAUAGCAAACAGUUUGGUUAGAUAAAUUGGUUUCAUUACUGUCUUAAAUAUUACAGUGAGGGUUUAUAGUCUUACUCUUGUCCUCUUAAGCAAAAAUUUCCCAGACCAAAGACUCAGCCCUGAUCAUUUGUCAUCCUGAACUAGAGGAUAUAUAAUCGUCAUCUGUGAUAUAAUCGUCAUCUGUGGAGAUGAUCAGUCCAGAUCCGAACUGCUGAUUGAGGAGUGGCCGUUAUGUGUUAUGUUUCUAAUGGUGAUCACUUCAACGUCUAGGAACAUCAGGUUUUCUUAUCCCUUUUCUGGAUGAUCAAUUGUGGUUUUUAAAUUUUUUUUUAUCUUUUUAGUGGGGCAGCAAAUGUGCAACAGCAUUCAGACUUUGCAGAGCUCAUCUCUAAACAUACCAACAUGACCAGCAUAAAUAUCUAUAUUCAGAGUUCAUAUCCAAUUCUAAGCCAGAAUCCAAGUGUGCCUAAAUUAAAACAGGAGUUGGAUUCAAUCUCCAACCUGAAGAGGACAGAAAUCUACAUAUUACAUUAUUCUAUUAUGAUAGCACAUGUUUCACCUGUUGAGUAUAACUGUCUGCCCAAUCUUAUUAAAUUUUUAUGUGAUGUUUUCUAAAGCUUUAGUGAUAUUUUCUUGAUUCCCUGUCAGUUUUUGAACUGGAUGGUUUCCCCUGUUUUCCAGGCUUUGUAUAAAGGAUAAGGAGGAAGAUGCUUGAAGAAAAAGGAAAACAAUUCAAAAUUACCUGUGAGUGGUUAAAUUUGUCAGAUAUCAAGUAAACAUGAGGACAGGUGAUUGAUGAUAAAAGGAGCUGGGUAUUGAUCAAGAAAAAAUGUGACAAAUUCCACAUUUGAUUUAAAUGUAUAACCACUUUACAUUUCCUCACUAUCUUUCUUUCAUUGUUAAUGUCCAUAAUUCUAAAAAAUAAAGUUAUAUUGUUA